UUUCUUUUCACCCUUUUAAUCUUAUUAAAUGAUUUUUGUAUCAUUAUUCAUUUGGUCCAAUUUUGCUUUAGAUUAUGGCUUUACAUUAAUUUUGUCUUGAUUUUUUCAUCCUGUCCCAAUUUAGUUGUCCACAAUUAAUUCUCCAGAGGUGAAAUUUUGUUAAAUUUCAAAAAGGUAUCAUCUUGGAUGAACCCCGCCAUUAUUAAGGUAGAGGUAAGACCUAACCUUAUUCUCAAUGCAGAAAAGGAACUUGGAAUUAUCUAUGAAGUGCCUCUCUAGUGUUGUUCUUUCUUUGCAUACUUUCAGUUGCACAGUAUUUUAUUCUUUUAGUUAUGGACUAUUACUCGGUGACAUUGUUUUCUCUUAAUCAUGGUUGUUUUCCACUUUGUAAAAUAAAAGUAUUUUUAGUUAGUCUGGUCUAAUGCUAUGGUCAGUGUCUAUGAACAUUAGAAAAGUUAGAAAGUGCUGUCAGAAUUGAGAACUAUCCACUGAGGUUGGAACUAUUUAAAUACAAGUUCUGAUAGUAUAUUUAUGGCACAGAAGGAAAGCUAUGUGCAUUACAG
rnacentral:lncRNA from 1 species